AUACAUGCAAGUCGAGCGGACAGAAGGGAGCUUGCUCCCGGAUGUUAGCGGCGGACGGGUGAGUAACACGUGGGUAACCUGCCUGUAAGACUGGGAUAACUCCGGGAAACCGGAGCUAAUACCGGAUAGUUCCUUGAACCGCAUGGUUCAAGGAUGAAAGACGGUUUCGGCUGUCACUUACAGAUGGACCCGCGGCGCAUUAGCUAGUUGGUGAGGUAACGGCUCACCAAGGCGACGAUGCGUAGCCGACCUGAGAGGGUGAUCGGCCACACUGGGACUGAGACACGGCCCAGACUCCUACGGGAGGCAGCAGUAGGGAAUCUUCCGCAAUGGACGAAAGUCUGACGGAGCAACGCCGCGUGAGUGAUGAAGGUUUUCGGAUCGUAAAGCUCUGUUGUUAGGGAAGAACAAGUGCAAGAGUAACUGCUUGCACCUUGACGGUACCUAACCAGAAAGCCACGGCUAACUACGUGCCAGCAGCCGCGGUAAUACGUAGGUGGCAAGCGUUGUCCGGAAUUAUUGGGCGUAAAGGGCUCGCAGGCGGUUUCUUAAGUCUGAUGUGAAAGCCCCCGGCUCAACCGGGGAGGGUCAUUGGAAACUGGGAAACUUGAGUGCAGAAGAGGAGAGUGGAAUUCCACGUGUAGCGGUGAAAUGCGUAGAGAUGUGGAGGAACACCAGUGGCGAAGGCGACUCUCUGGUCUGUAACUGACGCUGAGGAGCG
rnacentral:rRNA from 1 species